rnacentral:rRNA from 1 species
AAGCGCUUAUGACCAGACUUGGGCCUGUAGAUCAUCCGGCGUUCUCGCCGGUGCACUCUGCCGGCCCAGGCCAGCAUCAGCUCGCCCCGGGGGAUAAAGGCCUGGGGAACGUAGCUCCCUCGGGAGUGUUAUAGCCCCGGGCACAAUACCCUGGAGCGGGCUGAGGUACGCGCUCCGCACGGAUGCUGGCGUAAUGGUCAUCAGUGA